rnacentral:rRNA from 1 species
AUUGAACGCUGGCGGCAUGCCUUACACAUGCAAGUCGAACGGUAACGGGUCUUCGGAUGCUGACGAGUGGCGAACGGGUGAGUAAUACAUCGGAACGUGCCCGAUCGUGGGGGAUAACGGAGCGAAAGCUUUGCUAAUACCGCAUACGAUCUACGGAUGAAAGCAGGGGACCGCAAGGCCUUGCGCGGACGGAGCGGCCGAUGGCAGAUUAGGUAGUUGGUGGGAUAAAAGCUUACCAAGCCGACGAUCUGUAGCUGGUCUGAGAGGACGACCAGCCACACUGGGACUGAGACACGGCCCAGACUCCUACGGGAGGCAGCAGUGGGGAAUUUUGGACAAUGGGCGAAAGCCUGAUCCAGCCAUGCCGCGUGCAGGAUGAAGGCCUUCGGGUUGUAAACUGCUUUUGUACGGAACGAAAAGACUCUUUCUAAUAAAGAGGGUCCAUGACGGUACCGUAAGAAUAAGCACCGGCUAACUACGUG